rnacentral:rRNA from 1 species
UACGAGGGGUGCGAGCGUUAUUCGGAAUCAUUGGGCGUAAAGGGUGCGUAGGCGGCAUAUUAAGUCAGCUGUUAACUUUCCUGGCCUAACCGGGAACAUGCGGUCGAUACUGAUGUGCUAGAGGGUGGAAGAGAGAAGUGGAAUUCUCGGAGUAGCGGUAAAAUGCGUAGAUCUCGAGAGGAACACCGAUGGCGAAGGCAGCUUCUUGGGCCACAUCUGACGCUGAGUGCACGAAAGCGUGGGGAGCAAACAGG